CGGCCGCGUUGGUCCGUCGGGAAAUCCAUCGGCUCAACCGAUGGGCGUCCGGCGGAUACCACGCGGCUUGGGACCGGAAGACUCGAGGGGUACGUCCGGGGUAGGAGUGAAAUCCCGUAAUCCUGGACGGACCGCCGAUGGCGAAAGCACCUCGAGAGGACGGAUCCGACGGUGAGGGACGAAAGCUGGGGUCUCGAACCGGAUUAGAUACCCGGGUAGUCCCAGCCGUAAACGAUGUUCGUUAGGUGCGCCGCCGACUACGCGUCGGCGGUGUGCCGCAGGGAAGCCGUUAAACGAACCGCCUGGGAA
rnacentral:rRNA from 1 species